rnacentral:misc_RNA from 1 species
UUUCAUUUCAACCUCUUCUGCUCUCUCUCUCAGCAUUGAGCAACGCUGUCAAUGGAAGUAGCUACUGCAACAGCAUCGAGCCUCGCGCUCCACACGCGCUUCUUAGCAUUUACACAGGCUUCUUCACGAACCUCUAGCUCCAACCGAACCCUAUGUUUCGCUUCCUCAUCUUCUUCUCUCAAGACUUCUUUCUCAACAAGCUUUUUCUCCUCCUUCGCUGGCGGCGGAAGUGUUAUUGGCGAUUUCUCUGGCAUCAAAAUCCGACCUGAAUGUCUCAGUCCAGCAUCAAUUUCGAGUUCGAAAGGUAAAAGAAGCGUGGUCACUAUGGUUAUUCCUUAUACUAGGGGAAGUGC